rnacentral:rRNA from 1 species
AGCGAACGCUGGCGGCAGGCUUAACACAUGCAAGUCGAGCGGGCACUUUCGGGUGUCAGCGGCGGACGGGUGAGUAAUGCGUGGGAACGUGCGCUCUGGUUCGGAAUAAAUCAGGGAAACUUGAGCUAAUACCGGAUACGCCCUUUUGGGGAAAGGAUUGCUGCCGGAGGAUCGGCCCGCGUCUGAUUCGCUAGUUGGUGAGGUAACGGCUUACCAAGGCGACGAUCAGUAGCUGGUCUGAGAGGAUGAUCAGCCACACUGGGACGGAGCCACGGCCCAGCCUCCUACAGGAGGCAGCAGUGGAGAAUAUUAGACAAUGCGCGCAAGCCUGAUCCCACCAUGCCGCGUGAGUGAUGAAGGCCUUAGGAUUAUAAACCUCUUUUAUCCGGUACGAUAAUAACGGUACCAGAGAAAUAAGCCCCGGCUAACUUCGUG